UUUGGGGUGUCACCUGCUGUCCCCGUGCCCAAAGCCCAUCUCUGCCCCCAGACGCGGGGCUGGAGGGGGGCGCGGCCCCUCCCCGGAAUUUGGCGGCUGAGAUCCUUCCCGCGGAGCUCAGGGACGCGGUGACGCGGCUGCGGCGCGAGAACCGACGGCUGCGGCUGCAGCGGGACCAGCUCCAGCACAGGCUGGAGGCCGCAGAGGCAGCUGAGCCUCGGACAGCGCAGGGGAGGCCCCAGGAGGAGCUGGUGCUGCUGGAGGAGGCGCCCGAGGACCUGUGAGUUUUUGGGGGGUGGGGGGCAUUUGGGGGGCCCUCCUAGCAUCCCCCACCUGUGACCACCCCCUGCUCCCCCAGGGAUGAGCUGCCGGAGGACGAGGAGGAGGAGGAGGAGGAGGAAGAGCUGGAGCUCUCCAGGGCUGGAUUUCGAGGUUCCACGAGGUCGCCCCCCCAAAAACCCUCAUCGUCCCCCGGGGACCCCCCCGGGACUCCCCCCCUGGCCCCCGUGCUGCAGCUCCUGCGCAGCCAGCUGCAGGAGAAGGACGCGCUGAUCCGGCACCUGGAGAGCGACUGGGAGCGCAGCCGGGCGCAGCGGGAGCGCGAGGAGCGGCUGCUGGUCACCGCCUGGUACAACAUGGGGCUGGCGCUGCAGCAGCACGAGGCCGGCGCGGCGGCACGCGGCGGCGGUGGCAGCGGCGCUCUGUCCUUCCUGGCCCAGCAGCGCCUGGCCACGGCGGCGCGGCGGGCGCGGGCCCCGCACGGCCGGGCUCCCUCCAGCUGAGACCCCCGAGACGCGCCGGGCUGGUCCCGUCUCCACACUACACACCCCGGCUCCUUCCGGGGCUUGCCCCCCGUGCCUUUUGGGGGGUUUUUAGCACUUCUAUUUUUGUAGCUGGUUUCGGGGGUCUGGUGCGUGGCACCCCCGUGAAAUGUUCUAAUAAAGGCUCAGGACUCAG